rnacentral:rRNA from 1 species
GUAGGUGAACCUGCGGAAGGAUCAUUAUCGAGCGAAUCCAAAACGAACGAAAAAGUCUCCCAACGUGCAUACCUUCCAUUUGCAUGUUGUUGUGAGCCACAUGGAAACUCGUACACACGUGGUGGCAGCCGUCUGCUGUGCUUUUUUUAGGCAGACAAUGGCUUACGAGUGGCCGUGUGCUUGUUGAACAACGGUGAUCAAUUUGGCGUCUACGCCGUAUCUAGCUUCUGCCUGGACCGUCAGUUGCGAUGAAAGAUGCGGAGAAAGUUCCUUUGUUUUGGCUGCUAAUCAUCAUUGAUGAGCAGCAGCUUAAGGCAGAGUCGAGCAGACUUAAUGAGCCACGCUAGGUGGCCGCCAAAACCCAAAACACAACCGGUCUAUUUGACAUUGUUAUUUCAUUGUAUGUGUUGAAAAUGUACAAAUCUUGGCGGUGGAUCACUCGGUUCGUGGAUCGAUGAAGAACGCAGCCAGCUGCGAUAAAUAGUGCGAAUUGCAGACACAUUGAGCACUAAGAAUUCGAACGCACAUUGCGCUAUCGGGUUCAUUCCCGAUGGCACGUCUGGCUGAGGGUCGAAUUACGGUGAACUGUCUUCACGGUUUUUCUGGACUGUGAAGCAUUCGGCAAGCAAUUGCUGUUGUGUUGUUGGUGAUUCUAUCAUGGACAAUAUGACGAGCGGUUCCUUGCUUAGUGAUGACAAAAGAAGACGUCAACACCGAAUCUACUAUACUACUAAUACUAGUAUAUAGGUGAGGUGCUUUUGGUGGUCACAAAAGUGACAAGUAUGCCAUUUCAUAGGGGCAACAACCAGCAUACGUGAUAAGUUGGCUGGUUGAUGAAACGGCAACGGAAUGACGGACGUCUAUGUGAUCAAAAAUGAUACUAUUUGACCUCAGCUCAGUCGUGAUUACCCGCUGAAUUUAAGCAUAUAAUUAAGCGGAGGAAAAGAAACUAAC